UGUAAGGUCCAGAACCACCCUUUUUAUUUGAUAUAAAUAUGAGAGAAUGCAGCUUCUGUCUCAUCCAUAAGCUUGCAUUCUUCACAAGAGAUCUUUUAAAGAAGGCAUUUUUUUGCUACCUGCAUCAUCAGUUCCUUGAAGUGGGAGAGGUAAUCGAAGAGAUUAUUAGAACACAGAAGACGGAAUCCUUUUGUAAAACAUUACCCUGGCCAUUAGCAUGCAUAAAGUCAUCUAAUAAUACAGUUGUUUAAUGAAGCUUAAUGAGCUGAAUUAGCACAUAAUAUCAGCAGUAACUCAUGCUUCAGGCAUUUUAUUAUCAUGUCAUACCUGGCCAAUGUUGUUGAAGUUGGUGGAACUGGAGGAGCUCCUUUCAAUUUUAAUGACACUCAAAAUGGAUCCAUAUUGCAAAAGAUCUAUGUUUGGGUCUGUGAAGAUACGGUGAAAGCCAUUAAAGUGUGUCUUACUGAUGGCCAGUCCAAACAGUUUGGUAUUCCUGCUGGGAAUCUGCAAGAGUUUACAUUUGUAGAUGGAGAGCAUUUCACCUCCCUUUCACUUUGGCCAAAUCAAAAUAAUACACGUCUGGGUGCGAUAAAAUUCACGACAAGUCACUCCCGGAAUUUCUAUGCAAGCUUGACAAAUCAGAGACUGCAACCAGAAGUUAGAGUUGAUAUUGCCUCUGGGAUCUGCAUGGGAAUCAAAGGAUGUUCAGGGAGUGAUGUGGAUCGCUUAGGCUUUAAGUUUGUCAAGAAUUUUUAAAAUUAGUAAAAGUCCUACAAUGGUGUCACUUACACUGUUGGAAAUGUGGUUGUCAAUUAAUCAAACAUCUUAAUCAAUCUCAUAUAUUAAAUCAUUUUAAUCAAUAAUGUUUCUGUUUGAAGUUAGCUUAGUUUGUUUGUUUUAAUAUUAGCUUCUCAUAAUAAUGAUUCUUUUUUUUCUUUCAAAUCUGUUAACCAAUGAUUUGAUUUAUUUUGCUGGUUCAGACAAUUUAUUCUGUUAGUCUACCAGUGGUGCAAGACUAAGACACAGUUUAGAUUAAUUAAACAUUCUUUACAAAUAAUUCUGAGUAAUGAACAAAACAUCUCAUUUGGUGAUUUUUAGAUCUAAUUUGACUUAUAUGGAAUGCUAUAUGGAACAAUUUGAUCAUUUUCUUUUGACAUAUUCUGUCAGGAUUGUUGCACUUUGCACGCUUUGGCCAAGUGCUUUUGUUCUGUGUCACGUGUCUGCCCCGCCCUUGUCUCUUCUCCCCCGCCUCUGCACACCUGUUCCUCAUGUGUUAAUUGUGUUGUGUAUUAAACCAUGCCACGUUGCCUAGGUCGGCGUGAAAUCCCC